GGAGAGAACCGUAGGCUCUCCCGAUCAACACCAAGAAGUCUCCGCCCGCGGACGAGCCUCCUUCCCUCUGCGAUCUCUUCUUAUCGGGCGGAUACUGCCACCAACCUUUGGAUCGACCGGGUGAAUACGUUGGGAUGGUGAUUUUGACGAUGGAAAGGCUUUAACUUAAUUUCGAACAAUUUCUCUGGACUUUGCGAGCCAUGCGAGACAGUUAUUACAAGCUCUUUUUCACUUAACAAGAUGACCUCCAAAGAACUAUGACGCGUGAAUCAGAGGCCAGCUUAGAGCAUUUUCAUGGUGUCAGUUUGGUUACGGACGUAGGAAAGCAAAAUUGACGUUUGUAAUAUGGAGUUGGUUAUUGUGAAAGAUGUUGCGGUGAUUUAGAGUCUGGACAAGUGAAGGCAUAGUUUUAUUGAGGCACAUAUGUUUGUCAUUAGGCCUUUGCCAUGACGGGUGCGCUUGCAUGGCAGGUCAUCUCUUAAUAAAAGCAUACUUCUUUGUGUUUGAGGGGAGAUCACACGGGGUGUAUUUUUUGCCCUAGGUUCUCCCCUCUAGAGUGUAUUCUUCUUGUUUUGUCUUUUCUUUUCAUGCUUUCCUUUCUCUUGAACAAUGGAAUAUUGCAUCCUCGAAAGCACCCUCGACAUUCUCGAUUUUGGCAUGCCAUGAACCAGCGUUGCUUCCUAGUUGUUCUCGGAUGAUGUAGAUACAAAUUACACAUCAGAUUGACGGGCGAGAAACGAUUAUUACAAGCUCUUUUUCACUUAACAAGAUGACCUCCAAAGAACUAUGACGCGUGAAUCAGAGGGCCAGCUUAGAGCAUUUUCAUGGUGUCAGUUUGGUUAUGGACAUAGGAAAGCAAAAUUGACGUUUGUAAUAUGGAGUUGGUUAUUGUGAAAGAUGUUGCAGUAAUUUAGAGUCUAGACAAGUGAAGGCAUAGUUUUAGGGAGGCACAUAUGUUUGUCAUUAGGCCUUUGCCAUGACGGGUGCGCUUGCAUGGCGGGUCAUCUCUUAAUAAAAGUAUACUUUUUCGUGUUUGAGGGGAGGUCGCACGGGGUGUUUUAUUUGCCCUAGGUUCUCCCCUCUUGAGUGUGUUCUUGUUGUUUUGUUUUUUUUCUUUUCAUGCUUUCCUUUCUCUUGAACAAUGGAAUAUUGCAUCCUCAAAAGCAACCUCGACAUUCUCGGUUGUACUCUCUAACCCAGCUUAUUUUGGCAUGCCAUGAACCAGCGUUGUUGCUUUCUAGUUGUUCUCGGAGGAUGGAGACCAAAUGUGGUACUUGGGAAGAUAUUUGUUUGUAGAUGAAUUAAAGAGGCUGGUGAGUAGUUGAAUUAGUGUAUUGAGCUCUUUACAGAGUUAAAUUCUUCAUUUGUAAUCAUUUAGAUAUUUGAAUAAAAUAUAUCCUUUAUUCUUUGCUUUCUUUAUCUAAAA